rnacentral:ncRNA from 3 species
UACGGAGGGUGCAAGCGUUAAUCGGAAUUACUGGGCGUAAAGCGCACGUAGGCGGUUAGUUAAGCUAGCUGUGAAAUCCCCGGGCUUAACCUGGGAAUUGCAGUUAGAACUGGCUGGCUAGAGUAUGGUAGAGGGGUGUGGAAUUUCAGGUGUAGCGGUGAAAUGCGUAGAUAUCUGAAGGAACACCAGUGGCGAAGGCGACACCCUGGACCAAUACUGACGCUGAGGUGCGAAAGCGUGGGGAGCAAACAGG